AGAGUUUGAUCAUGGCUCAGAUUGAACGCUGGCGGCAGGCCUAACACAUGCAAGUCGAACGGUAACAGGAAGCAGCUUGCUGCUUUGCUGACGAGUGGCGGACGGGUGAGUAAUGUCUGGGAAACUGCCUGAUGGAGGGGGAUAACUACUGGAAACGGUAGCUAAUACCGCAUAACGUCGCAAGACCAAAGAGGGGGACCUUCGGGCCUCUUGCCAUCGGAUGUGCCCAGAUGGGAUUAGCUAGUAGGUGGGGUAACGGCUCACCUAGGCGACGAUCCCUAGCUGGUCUGAGAGGAUGACCAGCCACACUGGAACUGAGACACGGUCCAGACUCCUACGGGAGGCAGCAGUGGGGAAUAUUGCACAAUGGGCGCAAGCCUGAUGCAGCCAUGCCGCGUGUAUGAAGAAGGCCUUCGGGUUGUAAAGUACUUUCAGCGGGGAGGAAGGUGUUGAGGUUAAUAACCUCAGCAAUUGACGUUACCCGCAGAAGAAGCACCGGCUAACUCCGUGCCAGCAGCCGCGGUAAUACGGAGGGUGCAAGCGUUAAUCGGAAUUACUGGGCGUAAAGCGCACGCAGGCGGUCUGUCAAGUCGGAUGUGAAAUCCCCGGGCUCAACCUGGGAACUGCAUUCGAAACUGGCAGGCUAGAGUCUUGUAGAGGGGGGUAGAAUUCCAGGUGUAGCGGUGAAAUGCGUAGAGAUCUGGAGGAAUACCGGUGGCGAAGGCGGCCCCCUGGACAAAGACUGACGCUCAGGUGCGAAAGCGUGGGGAGCAAACAGGAUUAGAUACCCUGGUAGUCCACGCCGUAAACGAUGUCGACUUGGAGGUUGUGCCCUUGAGGCGUGGCUUCCGGAGCUAACGCGUUAAGUCGACCGCCUGGGGAGUACGGCCGCAAGGUUAAAACUCAAAUGAAUUGACAGACGCGCGACGGGCAUCAUCAUCGCGCCGCCUAUCCCCUGUAGAACGCGGAAGAUAACCAGUUCCGUCAAAGAGGUGGAGAGGGCGCAAGCCAGAGAACCGAGGGUGAACAACGUCACCGCCAGCAUGAAUACUUUACGCGUGCCGAAACGAUCGGCCAGCCAGCCGCUGACCGGAAUAAGCAUCGCCACCGUCAGGGUGUAGCUGAUGAUGGCGGAUUGCAUCGCCAGCGGGGAGCGGUUAAGGCUUUGGGCUAUGGCGGGAAGGGCGGUAUUGAGGAUAGUGGCAUCAAGUGCCUGCAUAAAGAACGCCAUGGCUGCAAUCCAC
rnacentral:rRNA from 1 species